GUGCCAGCCGCCGCGGUAAUACGGAGGGGGCAAGCGUUGUUCGGAAUUACUGGGCGUAAAGGGCGCGCAGGCGGCUGCUCAAGUCAGGCGUGAAAGGCCUGGGCUCAACCCGGGAAUUGCGCUUGAGACUGGGCUGGCUUGAGUGCGGGAGAGGAUGGUGGAAUUCCCAGUGUAGAGGUGAAAUUCGUAGAUAUUGGGAAGAACACCGGUGGCGAAGGCGGCCAUCUGGACCGCAACUGACGCUGAGGCGCGAAAGCGUGGGGAGCAAACAGGAUUAGAUACCCCCGUAGUCC
rnacentral:rRNA from 1 species